rnacentral:rRNA from 1 species
UGGGGAAUAUUGCACAAUGGGCGCAAGCCUGAUGCAGCCAUGCCGCGUGUAUGAAGAAGGCCUUCGGUUUGUAAAGUACUUUCAGUCGGGAGGAAGGUGGUAAGGUUAAUAACCUUAUCAAGUGACGUUACCGACAGAAGAAGCACCGGCUAACUCCGUGCCAGCAGCCGCGGUAAUACGGAGGGUGCAAGCGUUAAUCGGAAUUACUGGGCGUAGAGCGCACGCAGGAGGUUGAUUGAGUCAGAUGUGAAAUCCCCGGGCUUAACCCGGGAAUUGCAUCUUAUACUGUGCAGCUAGAGUCUUGUAGAGGGGGGUAGAAUUCCAUGUGUAGCGGUGAAAUGCGUAGAGAUGUGGAGGAAUACCGGUGGCGAAGGCGUCCCCCUGGACAAAGACUGACGCUCAGGUGCGAAAGCGUGGGGAGCAAACAGG